AAUCUAAAAUAAGAAAGGUGGGAGAAUUUAGGACGGGCCUGCAAACACAUCAACAGUGGAAACCGCAGUGGCAGAAACAGUCCUAAUGGCCAAGAAUCCCGUGCUUGUAUGAAUUCCCGGUUCCUUUUGGAAAGCUUGUUGCUGAAAAUACCAGGCUUAUAGUCUACAGUACUUUGUAUUCUGUUCUGCUUCAGAGAUUCCAGCUUCUGUAGUAAAAGUAUAAAGGUCUCAUGAAAAGCUGUAUUAACUGUGGCAUAGAUGACCUGCAAGAGAAUCUGGGAAAGAAGUGAGCACACACAGCAUGCUGGGAAAAUCUGGAGCUCACGUAUUAUCUGUUUCCAAAUGACAUAUUCCGGAUUAUGAUGAUUCCUGAAAAGAAGGAGUGCGGAAUUUGACUGAAUUAGGUUCCCCCAAACAAGCUAUGCAGACCCAGGGCACUUCCUGCUACCCUUCAAGGACAGAAAAGGUAAUUCAUAGCCCCACCUACUGCUGAGUAUAGUACACAAUCCUUCCUGACUAUCUAAUUAAGCCUAGAUAGACAAUCCAGGUGACUGUCUAACUGUUUCCAGUUAACUGUUUAACAGUUAAACUAACUGUCUAACUGUUUCCAGAGUAGGAAACCAACUCAGCAGUCUUGUCCAAUUGUUUUCAACCAGGGACAUCCUUCCACUUCAGAGCUUGGGAAGUGGCCUCACCCCCAAAUAGACCCUGAUAAAAAACUCUAUCUGCCCAAGGCAUUAUCAACAGGCAUAUCUAGAAAAACUAAGCUGAGCUGACUGGUGAAGAACUGCUUUUGACAAAGCAAGUCUGUAAGUCUGAAAAAGGAAAACACUUACUUAAAUGUUCCAAUACUGAUAUAAGAAAUUAAGGAUAUUUGGCAAAACUAAUACAAUUUGUAAAGUUUAAAAAUAAAAUAAAAUUAAAAAAAAAGAAAAGAAAAGAA
rnacentral:lncRNA from 1 species